rnacentral:rRNA from 1 species
ACGGGAGGCAGCAGUGGGGAAUAUUGCACAAUGGGCGAAAGCCUGAUGCAGCGACGCCGCGUGAGGGAUGACGGCCUUCGGGUUGUAAACCUCUUUCAGCAGGGAAGAAGCGAAAGUGACGGUACCUGCAGAAGAAGCGCCGGCUAACUACGUGCCAGCAGCCGCGGUAAUACGUAGGGCGCGAGCGUUGUCCGGAAUUAUUGGGCGUAAAGAGCUCGUAGGCGGCUUGUCACGUCGGUUGUGAAAGCCCGGGGCUUAACCCCGGGUCUGCAGUCGAUACGGGCAGGCUAGAGUUCGGUAGGGGAGAUCGGAAUUCCUGGUGUAGCGGUGAAAUGCGCAGAUAUCAGGAGGAACACCGGUGGCGAAGGCGGAUCUCUGGGCCGAUACUGACGCUGAGGAGCGAAAGCGUGGGGAGCGAACAGGAUUAGAUACCCUGGUAGUCCACGCCGUAAACGGUGGGCACUAGGUGUGGGCAACAUUCCACGUUGUCCGUGCCGCAGCUAACGCAUUAAGUGCCCCGCCUGGGGAGUACGGCCGC